UACCGGCGGCUCGAGUGGUGGCCACUAUUACUGGGCUUAAAGGGUCCGUAGCUUGAUAUGCAAGUCUCUUGAGAAAUCCGCCGGCUUAACUGGCGGGCGUUCAGGGGAAACUGCAUUUCUAGGGACCGGGAGAGGUGAGAGGUACUGCCGGGGUAGGAGUGAAAUCCUGUAAUCCCGGUGGGACCACCUAUAGCGAAGGCAUCUCACCAGAACGGGUCCGACAGUGAGGGACGAAAGCUGGGGGAGCAAACCG
rnacentral:rRNA from 1 species